ACAUAUGCUAGCUCUGUCGGUAGAGCAUGAAACCUUUAAUCUCAGGGUCGUGGGUUUGAGCCCCUUGUUGGGUA